UACGUAGGGUGCGAGCGUUGUCCGGAAUUAUUGGGCGUAAAGAGCUCGUAGGCGGCUUGUCGCGUCGGUUGUGAAAGCCCGGGGCUUAACCCCGGGUCUGCAGUCGAUACGGGCAGGCUAGAGUUCGGUAGGGGAGAUCGGAAUUCCUGGUGUAGCGGUGAAAUGCGCAGAUAUCAGGAGGAACACCGGUGGCGAAGGCGGAUCUCUGGGCCGAUACUGACGCUGAGGAGCGAAAGCGUGGGGAG
rnacentral:rRNA from 1 species